UACGUAGGGUGCAAGCGUUGUCCGGAAUUAUUGGGCGUAAAGAGCUCGUAGGCGGUCUGUCGCGUCGGCUGUGAAAACCCGGAGCUCAACUCCGGGCCUGCAGUCGAUACGGGCAGACUGGAGUACUGCAGGGGAGACUGGAAUUCCUGGUGUAGCGGUGGAAUGCGCAGAUAUCAGGAGGAACACCGGUGGCGAAGGCGGGUCUCUGGGCAGUAACUGACGCUGAGGAGCGAAAGCGUGGGGAGCGAACAGG
rnacentral:rRNA from 1 species